AUGGCCAAGCUCACCCUCCUCACUGGUCUGCUCCUUGUGCUGACAGCUGAAAUAGGCUCUGCCUACCAGCUGACAUGUUACUUCACCAACUGGGCCCAGAACCAGCCAGGCCUGGGGUGCUUCAAGCCUGACGACAUCGACCCCUGCCUCUGUACCCACUUGAUCUACGCCUUUGCUGGAAUGCAGAACAACGAGAUCACCACCAUCGAAUGGGAUGACGUGACUCUCUACCAAGCUUUCAAUGGCCUGAAAAACAAAAAUAGUCAACUGAAAACUCUCUUGGCUAUUGGUGGCUGGAACUUUGGCACUGCUCCUUUCACUGCCAUGGUUUCCACUCCUGAGAACCACCAGACUUUCAUCAACUCAGUCAUCAAAUUCCUGCGCCAGUAUGAGUUUGACGGGCUGGACUUUGACUGGGAGUACCCCGGCUCUCGUGUGAGCCCUCCUCAGGACAAGCAUCUCUUCACUGUCCUGGUGCAGGAAAUGCGUGAAGCUUUUGAGCAGGAGGCCAAGCACAUUAAUAAGCCCAGGCUGAUGGUCACUGCUGCAGUAGCUGCUGGCAUCUCCAACAUCCAGUCUGGCUAUGAGAUCCCCCAACUGUCACAGUACCCGGACUACAUCCAUGUCAUGACCAACGACCUCCAUGGCUCCUGGGAGGGCUACACUGGAGAGAACAGCCCCCUCUACAAAUACCCGACUGACACCGGCAGCAACGCCUACCUCAAUGUGGAUUAUGUCAUGAACUACUGGAAGGACAACGGGGCCCCAGCUGAGAAGCUCAUGUUGGAUUCCCAGCCUAUGGACACUCCUUCCUUCUGAGCAACCCCUCCAACCAUGGAAUUGAUGCCCCUACCACUGGUCCUGGCCCUGCUGGACCCUAUACCAGGCAGUCUGGGUUCUGGGCCUACUAUGAGAUCUGUACCUUCCUGAAGAAUGGAGCUACUGAAGUAUGGGGCUACUGAAGUAUGGGAGGCUUCUGAGGAUGUUCCCUAUGCCUACAAAGGAAAUGAGUGGCUUGGAUACGAUAACACCAAGAGUUUCCAAAUCAAGGCAGAUUGGCUAAAGAAGAACAACUUUGGAGGUGCCAUGGUCUGGGCCAUUGACCUGGAUGAUUUCACAGGCACUUUCUGCAACCAAGGAAAAUUCCCUCUGAUCACUACCCUGAAGGAUGCUCUGGGCCUGCAGAGUACAAGUUGCAAAGCUCCAGCCCAACCCAUUGCUCCCAUUGCCGAGGCAAACAUCACACGCGGUGUCAGCCACAGUGGUAGCUCUGGGGGCUGCUCUGGCAGGAGCUCUGGGGGCAGCCCCAGAGGUAGUGGAUUCUGUGCCGACAGGGCCAGUGGCCUGUACCUUGACCCCACUGACAAGAAUGCCUUCUACAAUUGUGUGAAUGGAAAGACUUUCACUCAGCACUGCCAGGCUGGCGGUGUCUUCAAUACCUUCUGCUCCUGCUGCAGCUGGUGAUAAUAUUUUUCAGAUAUCACCUCACCCAGCCUCAGAAGUUGUUGUGCAAUAAAAGUUUGAGCAUUA